rnacentral:lncRNA from 1 species
ACAAAUGCCACCAAUCAAGCCAUUUCUUUCUCAAGGGGAACUGAGUGAUUUGCAGGGUUUGGGGAAGGUUCCCUGUCCCUAAAGCAUCAUUCCGUCCCGCUCUGAAUGAAAAUAUGAUCUCAGUAGGACCAUGUGACUUGCAGCAACCAGGGUGACAAUGGUCGUCCCUGCAGAUACCCGAGGAGGGGACGCAUGAAGGUUCCCUAGGUGCCCUGUAAAUCUACAGAAUGUCAGCCAGGAAGACGCGGAAGGCAGAUCUCCCUAGAACAGUGGUACAAGACAUUGUUGGUCAUCUUAACAGAUGUGCACUGACUGAUAACCUUCAGAAUAGGAAGGAAAUGUGAGAUCUUAAGAAGGAAUUCUAGGGGAGGUCUCAGCUUUACCCCCUGUGACUUGCACUUGGUCAGUAUACAACUUACUCUUCCCACCAGAGUGAUAGAAAGAAAAACAGAAACUGAGUUCUGUAUGUUGAGGAAUAUCAUCUUGGCCUUUAAAUUAUGUUAAAAUUAUAGCAACAUGAGUCUUCCUGAAA